rnacentral:lncRNA from 1 species
GUAGUAGGCGAGGGGAUAAUAAACUAAGUUUUAUAAGAAUUAGACAAAAAGAUCGAUUUCCCGCCAUGCAUGGCAGACUUGUACAGAAACGAUAUGUUGUCGAAAUUCUGUUCGUAUCAUAAAAAAGUUCAAAACAGGUAGAACGCAUUUUUAGAUCGUUUGUAUACUUGUAUUAUGUACAUACAUGUAUUUUACCUUCAUUUAUCUUGUUUGUUUUCGC